GCUUCCGUAGGUCACGGCAGACCGCCUGAGAACCGUGAGUUUUCUAUCUCUUUCUUCAGGAGACGUGGGUUCGACUCCCACCGGAGGCA